CGGCACCGCCGCCAUGGUGGGAGUGGCGGGGCCGUGGAGUCGGAGAGCGCCGGGAUCGCUCACGGUGGAAAACGGCUCCGAGCUCAUCGAGUCUAAUCUGUCACCGAACACCACCGUGUCAACCAGAGCAGAGCACUGAGUGCCAUGUCCAGGCUUGCCUUAAACGUCUCCAGGGAUGGUGACUCCACCACCCAUCCCCUUGCAGUAUGUGACAGCCCUUUCUGCUGGAGUCAAAGAGGAAAACCAUUUUUAGCUCUUAGAUGAGAGAGAGCUUCUGCAGAGGAUCUGUACCUGCUUUGUUUGUCAUGUGUUUCACUUAAAGAAAAGAUGUGACUCCAGCUCUGGGGACUUGUGGACAUCGCUGGGACCAACAGGGUCCCAGCUUUGUGAGGAUUAUCCCUGUUCUUUUCCACAAAAUCAGCAAAGCUGAACAAACAGGGCUGAAGCUUCACAGAGGGUUUGGAAGCUCAAAGGAUGGGUAGAGAGUCAGUAAGCCCAAAACCUUCCUGGCAAAGGCUGGGCUGGAGGCAGGUACCAGCACUGGAGCUGUGUCACUCAUCUUGCCAAAGCUUCCUCCUUCCUCCUGCACCUUUUCCCAGCCCCACCCACGUAACACUCCAGAGCCCUGCUCUCUGAAGUCAAUUUUUUGCACUUCACAGGACUUUCUCUUGCUUUCACCUGAAAGCUGCUCCACACCCAGCCAGCACACUGCCAGGGUAUGAGUCUCCCUACCUGAACCCAGGCCUCCCUCCCAGGGCAAACUGGGGAGCAGGACAGGCAAGCUCUGAUACCUGGAGCAGGGAGAAGCAGGGACACUGCCCAAUGUAGAGCUGAGACUAGUCAAAGGAGCCUUGGUGGAAGGAGAAGGCAGCUGCUUAGGCUUUGUUAUGGGAUCAGCACACCCCAUUUGCUUCCAGCAGUCCAGCCUAAGAUAUAAAACACUGAGGAGGGUGACAGAGCAACAUUUGGAAAGAUGUGAAUUCCCCAUUAAGCCCAGCUCCUCCAGCAGCUGUGGCACACACUGGCAGUAUCUGGAGAACUCCAGCCCACAGCAACCUUGGAGACCCACAAGUUUGGCAGGCUCAGUUCUACCCCUCCCAUAUCACCCAGAGCCAUCUGCCCUGUGCCCUGAAGCACCAGCAUCCCCCCAGCCUGAUAGCAGAGCUGUGCAGCCUGGCAGGGCGAGAUCCCAGCAGGGAGCAACUGUCAAAAAAUGGCAUGAGAAGAAAGAAAAUAAACAACCAACACCAGUCAAGCCUCUAUGGUGUGCACUUUUAUUUCAACUGGUCUUAAGUCAGUGUACAGGUAGCCCCUCCCUCCCCCACAUACUGGCACCACUUCUAGACCCUGUGGGGGGACUGUAAAGCCUUCAUUCACAACUAUCACUGGGGAACACAGGCUGCUUGCUUGACAAAUCGAAGAGAAAAAGGAUCAAGUGUGUUUUGUUUUUAAGGCGGAAAGAUACAAAAAGACACUUGUCGGGUUACAUAAUUUACAGACAAGCAAUUAUAACCUAACACCAGCUGUAACUGGUGGACUCCCUCCGAGCUGGGCUUUGCCUUCACAGAGGCGAGUAACUUCCUGUAACAAUGCAUUAUAAUAUUUGGAAUGACUAUUAAAAAAAACCAAAAAAAAUGUACAAUCAAAGUCCUCAGAUGCAUUGUAGAACUUUGGGGGCGUUCGCUCCGACAUGUUUCAUUUUAAGAAUGCUGCUGACACCUUCACCGUUCCAGUUUUUUAAUCCUGAGUCAAGCGCCAAAAAAAAAACAAAUAAAGCCAUGCCAAUCUCGUCUUGUUUUA